rnacentral:lncRNA from 1 species
CGGGACUGGAACCGGCACUUGGCACCCCUUACGCCUUACGGUGGCCGCUGCGCCCAGUCACAUCUAUUGCAUUUCUCUGGAAUGACCACAGCAAUAUUUCCAGCCCUUGAUGAUCUUCUAGAACUUUGCCACUUCCCUGCAUCAAGAGAGUGACUGUGGACAAAUUCUGGCAUUCAGAAUCAAGUGUACAAAAUGUAUUGCAGAGAAUUUGAUGAGGAAAUUAUGAUGGAGGAUGCAUACUUAACAAAGAAAAUCUCCUGGAUGGAUCUUUCCUAUACAGGAAUUGUGAAAAUCUUCCCUGAGACAGGAGGCACCUGCCUGUCACAGAUACCAGUCAGGGAAAAAGAACACAUAAGGAUUUCCUGCUGGAACCCGAAAGCUUUUUCUGCAGUCCAGGUGGUUCUGAUAGCCCUUACCAGAUGUCUGUCCAGAGCCAUUAAGUCUUGGCAUGCUUGCUCUUGGGAAAAUAUUAAGCCAUCUCACCCAUGAGCAAGUGCUGAAUGAAUGGAAAGUUUCCAGCUGUGUGCCCAGAAAAAAAUGUUUAAUGAAGACAACUGAUGUCUUUGAAUGGUUUAUUUUCUCAAUUGUUUUUGAGGCUACAGCUUACAUAUCAAUACUUCCGAGGGACUAAGUAUACAAGAAAGACACUUAAAAUGAAACCCUUAGUAUAUAUUAGGACAAUGUCCUCAUUUUUAUGUUCUCAUUUACUUUACUAUUGAAAUUUUUAGAAUGAUUUAUCAAGAUUCUUUUAUUAUUAUUUAUUAUUUUCCUCUGCCUAAAUAAAUGGGGGUAAAAUCUAAAACCAUUUACUUAUGAGUAAAUAUGAUUGAGGAGGUUUCUAUAUGCUUAUAUUUUAAAACAGAACAAAAAAACAAAAAAUACCUACAAAGUUGGUGUUGAACUUAAUUGAACCAUGCUGCACUGACCCUUCUCACUUCUGACUCCUGUUUGCCCUUGGCUUCCUCUGUCACCUCUCCCUUCUUCAUGUCCCAUGCUCAGACUUUCGGAACCAGGUUUCCCUACCAUGUUAUGUUGUUUCAUAGCUCUUCCUCUCACUUCUUUCUCUGUGUAAAAUGCAUCUCUUCCCUGUUUACAUUUGGAAUGCCUUCUCAUUUUCAAAGGUGCAUCUGGUUUCUCUACUGAAUAGAACCUUUCCCAAUUUCCCAAUAGAGAACUUAACUACCCCUCACUUGGUGCCUACCCUGUACCCCAAAUCCCCGAUAAAACAAUCUUUACAUGGAUGUUGAGUAAAUAGUGACAAAGUGAAACAAUGAAAGGAACCAAUAAGAUUCCUUAACUCUUUAACUAAUGAUGUAUUAAUAGGACCAGAAAAUUACAGGAAAGAAUCAUUUUUUUCUUUUGCUUAUAUUUAUGCCCUAUUUGUCUAUUAUGCGGAAAACAUUAUGGUUCGGAGCCCAUGGCUUAUUCAUGUUUGUACAUCCAAUGUUCUCUCCGGUGCUAAUUUUGAUCAUCUGCUCAAAAUAAUGAUUUUGAGCAGAUGAUCAAAUAAUGAUUUCAUUGAAAAACAUCACUUCAUUGGCUUGGUACUUUUAUCGUGACCUUAGAUUUCUUGUAUAUACUACCUUUAUAUGUUAUCUGAGGAGAUUUGUUUUUAUAUAAAGGUUCUUAAUAAAUUUUCUUCAAAUGUCAGGAUCAAGAGCAUAGGCAUAUUUGCUCUGGAAUGUUUAUCCUAUUCUUCACUGAUGAUCAAUUUAGAGUGUGUCUGUUCAGGCAAGAAUAAACAGAGCAAAUGAUCUCUUUUUCCCAUAUGAGCUCUUGAAUUUCACUUUUCCCUAGAAUGAAAAGUGCUUCUUGCCAAUAGAGGAUUUUUUAUACUGUCAUUUAAAAAAUGGAUUUUCUUUUAUCAAACCAAUAACCUUUAUAUGUGCAUUGUUUUCUCCUACAUGGAGCCUUGAGAUCAGCUUUCACAGAUUCUGUUUUGUGGUGAGUGCUGUCAGUGUAGAAGGAUGUCAUUUGUCAUGCCUUAGAGACUGUGUAGCACCCCUUCUUUCUUUUGCUAAAUAAGAAAAAUAAGCUGCUCUCUGCCCAAGCAAGACAAAUGUACUUGGGAUACCUAUUCUUUCCUGUGAUUUCUCUGGACUUGCAUCACUGGUUUAAGAUUUAAGGCAUCUUCUUGGUUCUUUACUUUUCAUUGUUUCACAGCUCUUUGCUACUGUUUACUCAAUAUCCAUGUAAAGAUUGUUUAAUGGACACUUUGAAAACUUCACAAUUGUAAAGCAGUCCAGGUUUGUUGUUUGUGGUGUCAUUCUAUCUUUCUUUUCUCUGUUGUUUUCCUCCCUUCUGACCCUUGAUCAACUAAUGAGUGUCCUUACACCCUGACUACUCAGUUCUCCCCACAACUCUGCCUAUCCUAGUGUGCUAGUCUCUCAAUGACAAAGUCAUUCUUCUUUCUCCUCCAACUAAAACGCUCACUAGUUGAUUGUCAAGCAGAAAAUCUCUCUGAUUAACUCCCUCCCUCCAAGUAACUACUGAUUGUUAAUGGCCCAAUAUCUUAUUCUUCUAGGAUGAAAAUGAACAUUGUGAAAUAGGUGACAACUUUAUGUGACAAAUGCAUUUACCAAGGACAUAACUCUAUGAUUGUGGUAUUUCACACAUCAUGAGGUGGAACACUGGGGUUGUUUCUAGAAGGGAUGUGUAAGCUACUGCCUAUUCCCAUUUGUUUAAGGAUUUUUCAGUCUUAGAAUUGUUCAUUUCUAUUCUUCUUCCAUGGAGGAAUCUAAAUGCUGUUAUGUCACGGUAACUAACUGCAUUGUGCUUCAUAUAUUAUCAUGUAGAUUACAGGGCAAGUUAUUUUGUUUUCUAAAACAUUACUGGUAGAACAUAAAGAACAGUAGCAAUAAGACUAUUAACUUCUUAAUUGUUCCUGGAUACCAUUAUUAUACAUUCAAAUUUUGGUGAAGCCUCUGAUCAGAGUAUUUAAAGGUGUGUGUAUUUAAAAACUUGUGACAUAGAUCAUAUAUUAAAAAUAGUCUGCUUCAGAUUAUUCUCUGGGAACAAAACAAUGGAGUAGAUGGAAGGAGCUUAGUCAUCAAAGCAUUUCUUACAUAAUAGAUAUGACAAUGGUAAAAAUAGAUGAAAAUUGAAGGAAAAGAGAUGAAGCGUAGAGAAUAGUUUUAAGGAAACUAUACAAACAGACAGCAGAUGUCACUGUUGCUUUUUCAUUAUCAUUAAUCUUUUUUUGGGUUUUGUUCCUAGUUAAUGACAUUUUUCAUUUUAUUUGAGAACUCUAAUAGGUUAAUCAAGUUCACGUAUGCUGAACUUCUGUUUUGAAUGUUAUGUUUAUUAAGGUUAUGCCUAUAAACUUUGCAUAUAUAAUUAUAAAGAAGAUACUUUGUAUGCUGAGGACCAUUAAUUUAAUAUUAUAAAUUGACAAAAUAAUUUUUAUAAUAAACAUCAUCUGAUUCAGAAUAGUUUCCUAAUAAAAUAAAGUGUUAAUCAUCUUGAAGAACAGCUGGUCUUGAUCUUCUUUUAAAUGACCAGUCAUAUCAUUUGUUCUCUUUAUUGUGAAUACUGAAAUACAUAUCACCAAAUCUUCUCUGUGAUGAUGAUCUAAGAGAUUUUUUUUACCAUGUGAACACAACCAGCCAGUUUUAUGUAGAACCUGAGAAACACGUUCCACAUCAACUUCCAAAACACUAUUCACCCCCCCCGUUUCAUUUUCUCUCCUUGAUCAGUUCAACUCUAGCUUUCAAUUACAGUGUUUCCUCUUCAAGCUGCUGUGUAGGAUGCACAAACCUCAAUUUCUCAUCUUCCUAUCUAAUCAUUUACCAGAUCCUGUUGAUUCUAACUUCUGUGUUUUUAUUUCUUUUCUCUUCUUCUUUUCUUUUCUCAAAGACAGGGUCUCUCUCUCUGUCACCCAGGCUGGUGUGCAGUACCUUUGUAAAGGCACUACAACAGUGUGCAUUUCUAAAAUCAACUUCCUUUUUAUCACAAACUUUAAACUUCAUAGUACACAGCUAAGUAUGUGACACACAUGCACACAUUUCUGUAGGAAGAAUAACUUGGACAGUUUUUCAGUUUCAGUGGGGCUCCAUUAUUUCAUGAGAAUGAAAUGAGGCAACCUUGGUUUUAAUGUGGAAAAAAAUUCAGCAAGAACUAGUAAUAAUACAAUGAGAGUUUCUAAAGAUUUCUUUUUCAUAAAAUCUAAUUCUAUUGUCAUUUUUAAUUCAAAAGACUACAACUUUACUGUUAUAUUCUUAAACAUAGUAAGCCUGUUUUUUUUUUUAAAUCUAUAAAAUAAGGAACUUGGGUAAAAUGUUCCUAAUGUGCUUUUCAUAGAUAAAAUUCUAUUAUUCAAUAGGAAGUACUGAAAGGCGUACUUAGGAUUGCUUAUUUCUCUUACAAAAACCUCAUCAGUAUAUGUUCUAUGCUUCUAUAAAAAUGUAUUACAGAUGAUUACUUUUAGAACUAAAAUGAAAAUAUAUAUUAAGCACUUACUGGGGAAUUAGGAUUUUUAUAAUCAUAGGACAGUAGUGAAAAUUACUUGAAAUCUGUUAUAACUGAAAAACAAUUCAAGGAAUUUAAUGACAUUAAUCUUUACAUUUG